GAUGAACGCUGGCGGCGUGCCUAAUACAUGCAAGUCGAGCGAACAGAUGAGGAGCUUGCUCCUCUGACGUUAGCGGCGGACGGGUGAGUAACACGUGGAUAACCUACCUAUAUGACUGGGAUAACUUCGGGAAACCGGAGCUAAUACCGGAUAAUAUAUUGAACCGCAUGGUUCAAUAGUGAAAGACGGCUUUGCUGUCACUUUUAGAUGGAUCCGCGCCGCAUUAGCUAGUUGGUAAGGUAACGGCUUACCAAGGCAACGAUGCGUAGCCGACCUGAGAGGGUGAUCGGCCACACUGGAACUGAGACACGGUCCAGACUCCUACGGGAGGCAGCAGUAGGGAAUCUUCCGCAAUGGGCGAAAGCCUGACGGAGCAACGCCGCGUGAGUGAUGAAGGUCUUCGGAUCGUAAAACUCUGUUAUUAGGGAAGAACAAAUGUGUAAGUAACUAUGCACGUCUUGACGGUACCUAAUCAGAAAGCCACGGCUAACUACGUG
rnacentral:rRNA from 1 species